GACGAACCGUGCGAACGUUGUUCGGAAUCACUGGGCUUAAAGGGCGCGUAGGCGGCGGGCCAAGUCCGGGGUGAAAGCCCCCAGCUUAACUGGGGAAGGGCCUCGGAGACUGGUUCGCUCGAGGGAGGUAGGGGUCGCGGGAACUUCCGGUGGAGCGGUGAAAUGCGUUGAUAUCGGAAGGAACGCCGGUGGCGAAAGCGCGCGACUGGACCUCUUCUGACGCUGAGGCGCGAAAGCCAGGGGAGCGAACGGG
rnacentral:rRNA from 1 species